rnacentral:tRNA from 1 species
CGACCUGUGAUGUAAAGGCAGCAUACAAGAAUUUGACUCUUGUUGAAAAGGUUCGAAUCCUUUCAGGUCUA